ACGUCUGCAGCACCGAUGUGUUGAUGAAGAUGGAGAAAAGGAGAAGAAAACCAAAGCAAAUCUCAUUUUUGGAGCCAAUCUGCAGCUGUGAAACACUGCAUUGAAAUCUCCCCCUCUCUCUCUCUCUCUCUCCCUCUCUCCCUCUCUCCUUUUCUUUCUCCCACAUUCGCGCGCGCUCCCCCACGCAGCCGGGCGCGCACACGGGAACCUGCCCGCCCGUGCACUGCACACAGGAGCCGCUGACAGUACCCGCGCCUGCCUUGGAUCGCUGCCUCGCGUCCCUGCCGCUCCGCCGGAUGCUUGCGCAGAGGACAUUCCUUCCCUCCGGUGACCGCAUCCAUCUCCUGCUUCCUUCCCACGUCUUAACUUUUCCCCCGACGCGUGACCGUCUUCGUCUUCUUUCUCCUCCUCACUCGGUGGGAACCUGUGUCUGACAUCAUGCAUUUAACCGGGUGAUAAAACCCCGUAAGAGCCAGACGCGGUUAACUUCUCGGGGCUGGAUGGCACAGCUCUGCGUGCCAGGUCUGGAAAGUUGCGCUGCGUCAGGGAGCAUGGGCGCAAACUUUCAAAGCUUUUUAUAAUCGACAGACAUCAUUUUUUUUUAUUGUAUUCAUAGUGAAGCAAAUGAAGGCAGGUGAGUCACACGAAGCCUGAGAGGUGCGCACAGCUCCGAGGGAAGGCGACGCGGAGGGGAAGUCGUGAUCCGUGUGGCGGAUUGCGCUACGGAGGACGGAGGGAACGCACCGAUGAGACAACAUGGGUCCACUGCUGUGUGAUGGACGACUGACACACCUCCUCUUUCCACUUCUCCUCCUCCUGCGGGCUCCCCUGCUGUUCAGCUUCGGUGAGCGCACCUGCCCCAAUAGCUGCCGAUGUGAGGGGAAAACGGUCCAUUGUGAUUCCUCUGGCUUCUUAGAUGUUCCAGAAAACAUCUCAGUCGGCUGCCAGGGCCUCUCCCUGCGCUACAAUGAACUGCACACCCUGCUGCCCUAUCAGUUUGCUCACCUCAGCCAGCUCCUCUGGAUUUACUUGGACCACAAUAAGGUUUCUGCCGUUGACAGUCGAGCGUUCCAAGGGGUCCGCAGGCUUAAAGAGCUGAUACUGAGCUCCAACAGGAUCACGUCUCUACACAAUUCGACAUUCCAUGGAAUACCCAAUCUGCGCAGUCUGGACUUGUCCUACAACAAAUUGGAAAUCCUGCAGCCAGGUCAGUUCCAUGGCUUACGUAAACUACAAAAUCUACACCUGCGCUCCAAUGGUCUCUCCAACAUCCCGAUUCGAGCAUUCCUAGAGUGCCGGAGUUUGGAGUUUCUUGAUUUGGGCUACAAUCGAAUCAAGGCUCUUACUCGCACCACCUUUCUGGGCCUACAGAAGCUGAUGGAGUUGCAUCUGGAGCACAACCAGUUCUCACGGAUCAACUUUUUUCUGUUUCCAAGGUUAGCCAACCUGAGAUCGCUGUAUCUGCAGUGGAAUCGCAUUAGGGUGGUUAACCAGGGCCUCCCGUGGAAUUGGUACACUCUGCAGAAACUUGAUCUGUCAGGAAAUGAAAUCCAGAUCCUGGAUCCGGCUGUGUUUCACUGCUUGCCCAACCUUCAAGUCCUCAACCUGGAAUCCAACAAGCUGUCCAACGUGUCUCAGGAGGCAGUGUCAGCAUGGAUCUCACUGACCUCCAUCAGCCUCGCUGGAAACAUGUGGGAUUGUGCAACUGGCAUAUGCCCUCUCGUGGCUUGGUUGAGGAAUUUCCGGGGCAGUAAAGACACCACUAUGAUAUGCAGCAGCCCAAAGUAUCUGCAGGGAGAAAAGAUUAUGGAAGCCACAAUGAGCCAUGGCAUCUGUGAGGAAACUGAUUAUGUCCUGACUGAAACACCCUCGCCAAUGUCAGAGCUCAUUUCUGAAGCCACUGCCGAACCAACCUUUUCCCCGACUGGCACCUCUCCACCAAUGCCCCCGAGCAACACCUUUGGUCCUCUGCCACCAUUCAGACCACGGCCUAUUCCUCAUCCUACUUUUCCAGGGCGUAUGAACAAGGACCCUAAGGACUCAGUAGCUCGCACGCGACCCACUCACAUACCACCUCCAGAGAUGGAGCACAUGACUCUGCACAAAGUGGUGGUGGGCAGCGUGGCGCUCUUCUUCACCAUGUCCCUAAUCUUGACAGUUGUCUAUGUGUUGUGGCGGCGAUACCCCGGUGCAACCAGGUUGCUGCAGCAGCGAUCCAUGGUGGGACGGAAGCGCCGCAAAAAGAGUCCAGAGCCGGAGCAGAACCUGAGCUCCCAGCUCCAAGAGUAUUACAUGAGCUACAACCCUGCUGCCACACCGGAAGCAUUGGAGGUGCUGGGCAAUGGCACUGGUUCCUGCACUUGCACAAUGUCUGGCUCCAGGGAGUGUGAGGUAUGACCCAUCGCAUCAACCUAAAAAUCACAACUCAAAAUCAAAAUACAAAGGCUCAACAGAGAGAACGAGUACACGUGUCCGCGCCCCCUGCCCGGCGCCUGGCUGGGAGAUGUGCCUACCAUCCGUUAGCCUCAGGCCAAACAGGGAUACAGGAGGGGCCACGUGUGACGAGAACAAGGAUCCUACUCCAAUUAUCCACAUCCGAGAAUAAAUUCAAGAACGCUCCUUCACGCUAAAGGAGGACGGCGAUGAGGAGAUAACACCGUCUUUUUCUUUUUGUUAAGAUUUUAUAACGUCCUUCGUUUGGCCUGUGGUCAUCGAUCAUCAGCCGUGUUGCAGGUCGUGUUCCCGCCACACAAAAGGACACGUUGUGGGGAACACAGUCCUGGUGGUGAAUAGCAGACCUUUGGGAGAACACUCAUGAGCACUAAUGGAUGAGCAACAUGGAAACUGUAGAGGUUAUUGUCUCCAUGAGGACAACGCGGCUUCGCUUGAAAAACACUGUACAGUUUCAAGAGGCUUUAAAAAGAGAAAAUGCUAAAGUGAACAAUGAAUUGUUUGCACUGAACACGUAGCUCCGACCGCUGCGCUGACACGGCCGUGUGCAACAUGAAGUGGGUUUUGCAUAUUCUGAUUCCACAUGAAGCGUUUUU